AGUGCUGGGAUUGGCCCUCCUGUCUAUUGGAUUUCAACGCAGAGGGACCUGGGUUCUGUUUUCCCAGCUGAAAUGUCCCCAGCUGCAGGAUGAAGACUGAGGAAAUGGGGACAUAAAAAGGAAGCCUCUUUCUCUGAUGUGUUUUCUCUCUUCCCCCCUUUUUUUCAUCCCAACCACAUUAGUUAGUACUUACUACAUCUAUUGUGUAUAUGUGAUUCAGGGACAAGUAGGUUUAUUAGCAACAACAUGGGAGUCUUAGGAGGGGGAUACCUGGGCUCUUGAGUGACCUUGGGCAAGUUUCUGCACUUUUCUGGGCCUCCGUUUCUUUACCUACUACAUAGCAAUAAUAAUCCCUUUCCUGACUUCUUCACCAGGAAACCAUGAGGAUGGGGUAUAAAAGGACUGUGUAAAAUGUGAAAUGUAGUGAACAUGAAAAAGUUUGUUUGGACUAAAGAGCGCCCCUGACCUAGGGCUCAGACCUGUACAGCCACCUCUGUACAGAGGUGAGGGCUCCCUCUCCUCUCUCACCUGGGACUAGGUUCAGGAGAUGGACAACACUGAGUGGCAUUGAGAGCGUCAACCCACUUCUUCAGCUUCACCCUCCCCAUGCCUUCUCUCUUAAGCCAUGCUACAGCCGUACUAAACUAGUGGAAAUACCCCAAGCCUGCCAGGAGGUUUCUGUCUACUUUGUGCAGUUUAUUCUGCCUUGACACCCUUCCCAACUUCUCCCCUUGGUGCGUUCCCACUCAUCUUUCAAGACUCGCCUUAGAUGUCCCACUUUUAGGAUGCCUCUCCUGACCUGGAUACAGUCCUCCUACUUCUCUUGAUUGUUGCAUCCGCCUCCUGCCUGAGCUCUCGGCCUUCAGCUUCUCUUUCCCGCUCAAAGACCCCAUGGUGCAACCAGUGACCUUUCCAACAUACAAAUCUUGUCAUGUCACUCCCUGCUUAAAAUAACUGGCCAAUGGAAUAAUCCAUCAAUCAAUGCUUCAGGGGUUCCUCCUUGCCCUCAGGAAAGCGUCCACACCUUCGGCUGGAUCUCCAUGCUUGGUCCCUGCUGGUCUUUCCAGCCUCUGCUCUCUUCUCUCUCCUUAUUGCCCUGCACAUGCAGUGCCCUCCGCCCACAUUGCUCUUGUCACUGUAUCUCAGACACACCCCUCUCUAUCUUUGCUCAUCCUGUUGUUUUUCCUGCCCAUUCCCACCUUGUCCACUUGAGGAAGUCCUGCCUAAUCCUUAACACUAGGUCUGAUAUAACCUCUUGGAAGCCUUCCCUAUUGGCCCCAGGAAGAGUCCUUGGCUUCUGCUUCUUCCCUCUCCUGUAUGACUGACUACUCAUGGUUUUGUUACUGUUUGUCAGCUUGUCUGUUUACACUGAGAGUUUGCUGAGUAGAGACUCUAUCUGACACAUGGUUGUGUCCCCAGCAGUGCCAGGAGAGGGGCACAGAGCAGACAUGUAGGAUAUGUUGCUCAUGUGAGUGGUUGAAUGAAUGAAGGGUGAGUGAAUCCAACCUUGAACCAUCACUUCUUGGCCAGCCCCAGAAUUGCUGUUUCCUGGGGUAAGCCCAUUUGAUAGCCAAAGGGGAAGCAGACAGGAGGGACUGCUCUAGGAGGGAGAAAGAAAAUCAAUAAAAAUGUAAAUCUGGUUGAGAAAAGCUGUCCCAAGCUGGCUGUGGGGAGAGAUAAGACUGGGCUGGCUGAGCCCUGGCUGACAGUGGAGGAGAGAUUGGGGACAACAGAGCUGCGACCAGGGUAGGGCAAAGGAGGUACGUUCCUUCCUCUGUUGUCACUGCCCCCUCCCACCCUGAUGCUCUCUGUGUUUAUGAAAUUUUUUCUGGGACAGAAGGAGAAGGGAGCUUACAAAUCCUGAUCAUCAGGUGUGGUGCCUGUGAGCAGGUACAUGAUCUUACCCGGUCCUCACAGCUUCUGGGAUAUAGGAGCUAGGCAUGCUCAACCUCACUUGCAGGUGAGCAAACUGAGGUGCAGAGAGGUUAAAUCAUUUGUUCAUGGUCACACUGUAAUAAGUGGCAGAGUCAAGAUCUGAUCCCAAGCCUGACUCUCUCCACAACUCUAUAAUCUUUUCACUCCAUUAAGGGCUUUUGACUGGGGAUCUGGGAUUCUUAGGAGGUCUACACCCAGGCAUCAGAUGGUCUUCAACCUCUGAAAUCAAAUGCACAAUUGUGUAUUUGUCUGUGUGUGUGUUUUGUUUUAUGUUUAGUGGACAGUCUAUGUCUUUGAUCAGAUCCCCAGAGGUGGUUGUCACUUGCCCCCCAUUGCCUGUACCAUGUUGCCUUCCUGGAGUUGGUGGCCUUUGAGCUGGGCCUGGAAGAUUGAGUAGGACUUUAUGAAGUGGGGAUAGAGAGACAAGCAGUGGGGUGGGGAUGAAGAAGAUAACCCAGGUUAGAGGGAACAGCAUAAGCAAAGGUAUGUGAAGGGGAAAUAAUUCAACACCUCCAGGCAAUGGUGAGGAUGUCCAUGAGUUCUCUUUCACUUAUGUGCAUGUCAGUCAUGACCCUUGGAGGCCAGCUCAUGAUGGGUCAUCUGCCUGCCCUAGAACUUACCAGCCUCUAGCAUCCCAGACCUUCCCAGGGUGUACAAGAAAAGAAACCUCAGGCCUAGGCAUCAGGAUGUCAGUUCUGGUCUGAGUCCUGUCCUCUGCUGACUUUACACUGGCACAAUCUAGCAGGGAGACUUAAUGUCUUCUCCUCCCAGCUUCCUGGUACAGGGUAAGAAAGUAAGCUCACAGAUGCAAAUGCUUGUGGCUCUUCAUUGACCAGAGGCUAUAUUAGGGGAGAGGACUUCCCUGGGGCCCCCACAAGGCCUGGAAAACCCCUCUGGCCCUGACCUGCUCCUGUCUUGGGUAACUCCUGAGUCUCUUCACCAUGGCCAGUUUGGAAGACUUUAGGCACAAGGACCUCGUCUUUUCCUUCAGAUCUUGGCUCAACAAAGAGGUGGACUCACCGUGAUAUGGAUACAGCUUGAGUGUCCAGGAGUCUCCCCAGAUCCACGGGAGGGCCUCGGUGGUGUGUUCAUGUUGUCAUAUUUUUGUAAAAUUUGCAAAGACUUUUUUUCCCCUGCAAAACCUGGGAAACAAGAGGGAUGAAGGAAUAUAAACAUCCUAAAAGCCUCAUAUUGUUGGAGACUUUGAAAUUCUUGGCAUUGAUACAUACAUGCUUAGAUAUUUGUUAAACAUUUACAGAUACCAACCAGCAAAAUAAAAAGGGAAUUGGAACUUCUCUACCUCCCUUUUCUUUUAUCACAUGGAAAAAUCUCAAAGCCCUGGCACUGGGAGCUGCUCAAAAGGCAAGGGCCACAUGUGACCUCAGCUUCCCCCCACCCCAAGCAUAGGGCCAGGAAGCCACUGCUGGUGGCUCCCUAUCUGCUGCCUCCCAAGCAGCAGGCCCCAGUGAGGUGGGGUGGCAAUAGGUUGGGCUGGGAGCAGACUAAUAAACUCUCUCCUCCCCGCAGGGAAAUAACCAGGCCAGAUAAGACUAGCCUUAAAACAAAACAAGGGCCGAUGUAGAAAAGGAUUGGAUCAUAAGACCUGAGCAAGCCAUAGCAUCACUCAUUACAUAGAGCUGAGCUUUACUGCUCCCGGCAUUACAGUAAUGGGCCUGACGCCAGCCCAGGAAUCCAGAGAACCAGGUGCCACCCCCCAAAAAACAGUGUCACAGAACUAAACAUUAUCCAUGCUGCCCCAAGUAACAGAGACCCAGGCACUCAGGAGAAAAUAGAGAAAUUAGGAUCCUAGUCACAAAGGUCACAGGGACUUUGGUGGCCCCGGUCACAUGUGUGAAAUCUUGGCAAUGUGUAGGAAUCAGUGAGUGCACGCUGAGUAUGUGUUUGUCUGAAAUUAGAAAAUACCCAAGUGUGGGCCUGAGUCUCCCUCCCUGCCCCAGGUCCCAGACUUGCCCACCCAGGGCCCCUAAGGCAGGUGUUGGGCCUCAUCCUCAACCAUGGCUCCCUGAGGGCAAGGGCUAGAACUUCCUGAGAUGGAGAAUGAGUCUCCCGGCUUCAGCUAAGGCUUCCUGGGGCCCCCACACAGGCCUUCUGAAGGCCCUGCCAAGUCUGGGUGUCCCAAACCUGAGGCCAGCUCCUUCCUCCCGGUGGGAGUCUACCCAGGGUCCAGCUCAGUGCUCUGCCUCCAGGGGGCGCCAAAGGGACACUUCUUAAAGGCUGCUGGAGUUGGGGAGGAGACCUGAGUGUACACUGACCGCACAGAUGGUCACAGCUGAACAAGCCUGAAGGCUGGCAAGUUCAUUCCCACUUGACAGGAGAUGGCUGAGGCUCAGAGAGGGUGAUCCAGGCGAGUGCAGACCUGGGCUGGGGCCCAGCAUGGGGGGCAGCCUGGCCCACUAUGGCUCACUUUGCUAUCCAAGGGCCCCAGGGAAAGGUAUGCAAUCUUUCCACCCAGGAAAGCCUGGCUCCAGGACAGCUGGCUGGCUGGGGGAAGGAGGAGGAAGACCCUCUUGCUUCAGAAAUGGCCAACACAGCAAAUGCCCAAACAACUCUUUGGUUCAGACUAGCAAG